rnacentral:misc_RNA from 1 species
GAUGAAGAACGUAGCGAAAUGCGAUAAGUAAUGUGAAUUGCAGAAUUCAGUGAAUCAUCGAAUCUUUGAACGCACAUUGCGCCCUCUGGUAUUCCGGGGGGCAUGCCUGUUCGAGCGUCAUUACAACCCUCAAGCUUUGCUUGGUAUUGGACAUUGCCAGUUUCUGGCAGGUCUUAAAAUCAGUGGCGGUGCCAUUUGGCUUCAAGCGUAGUAAUUCUUCUCGCUUUGGAGAUCCAAGUGGUUACUUGCCAAUAACCCCCAAUUUUUUCAGGUUGACCUCGCAUCAGGUAGGGAUACCCGCUGAACUUAAGCAUAUCAAUAAGCGGAGGA